AGCAGAGUAAGGAAGGUUAUCUGCUCAUUAGGUCACGUGAUGUGUGAAUCAUUAUAUAAAGGCAUGUAUUUGGUUACCUGGCUAUGCGUCAUCCUUGUCACCGCCCUCUUGUGGGACCUCAUUCAUGUUUUCUCCAGGUAUGUGCGUUAGCAGCGUGUAACCUUUUGGCAAACUUUGUGCGUUUGUUUACGUUACUUUGUUUAACACUACAGGAUAAUUUGACUACUGUUGUUGGCGUGGGCUGUCUGCUAUCCCAGGUAUGUGCGCUUUAUUUGUUGGACUAUGGGAACUGGUGUAUUGAAACUUACAUGCUGCACCAUUUCAGCGUGUUUUGGCGUCCGGUUUGUGAACAGUGAACAACGUUCAUUCUAGCGAAGACGCUUUCGUUUAGUGAGUUACGACCGCUAAUCUUUGGUUGAUCUGGUCUUCCGACCACUUUCUGGGGAAUGAGAGGGUUAUUUUCGAGGGUUUGACUGCGCUGCUGUUUUGCCUUUGAAACUGUAUGGGUCACUUUUGAAUCCGAUUUUAGGCAACGGGGCUUCACUCGGUAUGCCGGUAUUUGUGUCAGCGACUUUGUGUUUAUUCACAUGAACUUCUUGUGUCCAUGGUUCACUGAUAAGUCGCUUAGUUAAUGUGGGUUUAGUGUUUUACUACAUUUAUUUGUUUUUUUCUUGUGUAAUUGAGAUUUUUUUGAAUUAUUUUACUUGUUUUCUUAUUUUUUAUGUGGUUUAAUACCACUCUUUCUUUCUUUGGUCCUGUUUGGGAGUCUGCUGUGUAUUAGUCUGGGCCUAACUAUUAUAGUCUGAUGUUACGGCCCAGUUUUCCUGUAAACCUUUAAUGCCUGCCUGUGCAUCAGUCUGGGCCUAACUAUUAUAAUCUGAUGUUACUGUCCAGUUUCCCUGUAAAUCAUUAAUGCCUGCUUGUGUAUUAGUCUGGGCCUAACUAUUAUAAUUUGAGGUUGUUGCCCAGUUUUCAUGUAAAUCUUCAACGCCUGCUGGUGUAUCCGUCUGGGCCUAACUAUUAUAAGUUGAGGUUAUUGCCCAGUUUUCCUGUAAAUCUGUAAUGCCUGCAUGUGUAUCAGUCUGGGUCUAACUAUUAUAAGUUGAGGUUAUUGCCCAGUUUUUCUGUAAAUCUGUAAUGCCUGCAUAUGUAUUAGUCUGGGCCUAACUAUUAUAAGUUGAGGUUAUUGCCCAGUCUUCCUGUAAAUCUCUAAGGCCUGCACGUGUAUCAGAGCUGGCUUGAUGAUUUGUAAGUACUACUUACUAUAGGUGAGUUUACUGUCAGUUUGUGCCAUCAAGUCCGCUGGUGGCGUUUGACUCACAGCAUAUGUAAAGGUACUGCCUCUUUUGAACGUGGGCUAUUUAAUUUUCUUUUUCAUUUGUGUCAGUGUUUAGUAGUUUUCGUUGUUUUUGUUUUGUGAUUUAUAUUUAAUAUUGGUUUAUGUUGUGUAACUAAUUGUGGGUUUGUUUUCUUUGUUUUUUGGUUUGUAGAUUUGUUUUGUUUUUGACAAUUGUGUGGGGUGGGUCAUUCUUUUGGAUGGGAGGAGAUAAUUUUGUAUUUUUCUUUUUGAGUGACUUUUACACUGUGUGCUGUGCUGACUUUAUACCGUUCACACGUGUGUGUGCGUGGUGUUGGGGUGAAUAUUCUGUGUGUAACCGGGGUUGUUAUCUCCUUUUGCUUGAGUUGAGACCCAGCAAAUGUUAAGUGUUUUGUAUGUGUUGUGCUGAUUUUAUAAGUGACUGAAGACCAAUAUUUGAUACUUCUUUUUAGCUAAUACAAAAUAAAGGUGUAUAUUUUUCAUUA